UGACAGAUACAGGAUCUACCACCCUUUCAAUAUCUUGCCGCCUCUAAAUAUCAAGUAAGGGCUCAGCAGAAUAGGCCCAUAUCUUCAAGAAAAUAACUUUCCUUCAGGUUGUUUGUUCGCCGUGAUUGAAAAUGGGUUCAACGCUGCGGAAUGCGAGAGAUCUUCGAAGGUUAGGUAGGUUAAGAUUAGGAUCUAUGUUGGCAUCCAUGCGCUAAGAAUGUGGAAUCCGUUUGUUGCUUUCCAUAUUUAUUGUAUUUUUACUUUUUCGACUCUGUCACUAUACGAUCUGCUCCUUAGCUUUCCAUGGGCAGUUCAUAUAUGCCACUUAGAUUGCUAUAGCUGUAUCUUGUUUUUCAUUUCUUUGCUCCGCGAGUGUUCUUAAGCCUAUAUCAUGGAUAUAGAACUCUGAAGGCCUAUGCCUUCUUGUUACCUGUUUAUCCUGUGAGGUGCUCUCCUCUUCUGCACUGUACAAAGGAUGCAGUGUUGAUACAUACUAGAAGUAACC
rnacentral:sRNA from 2 species